rnacentral:rRNA from 1 species
AUGGAGGAUCUGGUAGUAACUGCGAGUGAAGUGGGAUCAGCCCAGCACCAAGGUCAUCGGCCCUGUGGUCGAUUGACGAUGCGGUGUUUGGCAUGCCUAUUGUGCGGUGGACGGAGCGACAAAGUUCCCUUGACAGGGCUCGUGCCCCAUAGCGGGUGUGAGGCCUUUAGUUGCUCGUGAGCUGCCGUAUCUCAGGUAUGUCUAGAGUCGGGUUGUUUGGGAGUACAGCCCAAAGUAGGUGGUAAACUCCAUCUAAGGCUAAAUACGUGCACGAGUCCGAUAGCGAACAAGUACCGUGAGGGAAAGUUGAAAAGUACUUUGAAGAGAGAGUUCAAGAGCACGUGAAACUGCCUAGAGGUAAGCGAAUAGGGCCACAUGAGCAUAGGGGUCGGAUUCAGUUACGCCUGCUUGGCAUGCGUCGGUGCGCGCAUACUGCCGUGCUCAGACUCGGCCGACUGUAGCGCUGGCCUUGCGGAGUCGUGGCCUUGCACAGUCGGCUAACGUAUGGUACGGCCAACCAAUGGGAGCCGCGAUCAAUUGGUCGAGGUGCCAAGUGCGCGAGGAGGUAGCCACGGGUGCUCCUUGUGGGCGCUGCUAACGUUGGCGAUGACUUGUGCAUUGGACCAACUUCGGUCGAUUGUGGAGCGACUGCCGUGCACGCAUCACUCGAGGGUGCUUGCUGCUCCGUUGCGCUUGGUCUCGCUGUGCUGGACUGCAAAGCAGUGCUGUGUGACGAGGCUGGGUUGCGUGCGGGGUGUGUUAGCGAACGCGAGGUGCACGGCUGGUCAGCGGCUUGUUGGUCGCCUAUCCGUCCCGUCUUGAAACACGGACCAAGGAGUUGAACAUGUAGGCGAGUCAUUUGGUGCUUAAACCAAAAGGCGCAGUGAAAGCGAAAUUAGCCAAGAUCCGCUGGUCUCGGCCGGUGGCGCAUUGGCGACUCGUCACAUUGCCGUGUGCAGGUGGCGAAGUUGGAGCCUACACGUUCAGACCCGAAAGAUGGUGAACUAUGCUCGAGCAGGACGAAGCCAGAGGAAACUCUGGUGGAGGUCCGCAGCGAUUCUGACGUGCAAAUCGAUCGUCUGACUUGAGUAUAGGGGCGAAAGACUAAUCGAACCAUCUAGUAGCUGGUUCCCUCCGAAGUUUCCCUCAGGAUAGCUGGUACUCGAGGGCAGUUGUACUUCGAUAAAGCGAAUGAUUAGAGUGUUCUGGGUCGAAACGAUCUAAACCUAUUCUCAAACUUUAAAUGGGUACGAUAUCGAGCUCACUUGAUUGGAGCUCGAGUGCGAAUGUGUGUAGUGCCAAGUGGGCCACUUUUGGUAAGCAGAACUGGCGCUGUGGGAUGAACCAAACGUCUGGUUAAGGUGCCGAACACGGACGCUCAUGAGAAACCAUAAAAGGUGUUGGUUGAUAUAGACAGCAGGACGGUGGCCAUGAAGUCGGAAUCUUUAUGGAGUGGAGACUACGCGUCACUGG